rnacentral:rRNA from 1 species
GUUAUAGGAUCAAGCGACUAAGUGCAUAUGGUGGAUGCCUUGGCGAUCACAGGCGAUGAAGGACGUUGUAGCCUGCGAAAAGCUGCGGGGAGCUGGCAAACAAGCAUUGAUCCGCAGAUGUCCGAAUGGGGAAACCCACUGCCGCAAGGCGGUAUCCUGGGCUGAAUACAUAGGCUCCAGGAGGCGAACCGGGUGAACUGAAACAUCUCAGUAGCUCGAGGAAAAGAAAUCAACCGAGAUUCCGAAAGUAGUGGCGAGCGAAAUCGGAAGAGCCUUUACGAUUUAGCGUGUUGCAUAGUCGAACGGGAUGGAAAGCCCGGCCGUAGCAGGUGAUAGCCCUGUAGGCGAAAUGCAAUGCGUGGAACUAAGCGUAAGAGAAGUAGGGCGGGACACGUGAAAUCCUGUUUGAAGAUGGGGGGACCAUCCUCCAAGGCUAAAUACUCGUGAUCGACCGAUAGUGAACCAGUACCGUGAGGGAAAGGCGAAAAGAACCCCGGAAGGGGAGUGAAAUAGAUCCUGAAACCGUAUGCAUACAAACAGUCGGAGCCUCCUUGUGGGGUGACGGCGUACCUUUUGUAUAAUGGGUCAGCGACUUACAUUCAGUGGCGAGCUUAACCGGAUAGGGAAGGCGUAGCGAAAGCGAGUCCGAAUAGGGCGAUUCAGUCGCUGGGUGUAGACCCGAAACCAGAUGAUCUAUCCAUGGCCAGGUUGAAGGCACGGUAACACGUGCUGGAGGACCGAACCCACUAGUGUUGAAAAACUAGGGGAUGAGCUGUGGAUAGGGGUGAAAGGCUAAACAAAUCUGGAAAUAGCUGGUUCUCUCCGAAAACUAUUUAGGUAGUGCCUCAAGUAUGACUGCGGGGGGUAGAGCACUGUUAUGGCUAGGGGGUCAUGGCGACUUACCAAACCAUGGCAAACUCCGAAUACCCGCAAGUCCAGCUUGGGAGACAGAGCACCGGGUGCUAACGUCCGGACUCAAGAGGGAAACAACCCAGACCGCCAGCUAAGGUCCCCAAUUAUCGCUAAGUGGGAAACGAAGUGGGAAGGCUUAGACAGUCAGGAGGUUGGCUUAGAAGCAGCCAUCCUUUAAAGAAAGCGUAAUAGCUCACUGAUCGAGUCGUCCUGCGCGGAAGAUGUAACGGGGCUAAGCGAUAAACCGAAGCUGCGGGUGUGCGCGUUCCUUUAACGGCAUUGAGGCUUUGCGUCGCGGACAGCGACGCAAAGCGGUCAACACUUCGAGUGCGAGGUGGUGGCACGAUGACGUGUCGUUAAAGGAGCGCGCACGCGGUAGGAGAGCGUUCUGUAAGCCUGUGAAGGUGACUCGUAAGGGUUGCUGGAGGUAUCAGAAGUGCGAAUGCUGACAUGAGUAGCGAUAAAGGGGGUGAAAAGCCCCCUCGCCGUAAGUCCAAGGUUUCCUGCGCAACGUUCAUCGGCGCAGGGUGAGUCGGCCCCUAAGGCGAGGCAGAGAUGCGUAGCUGAUGGGAAGCUGGUUAAUAUUCCAGCACCAUCGUACAGUGCGAUGGGGGGACGGAUUGCGGAAGAUCAUCAGGGUGUUGGAAGUCCCUGUUGCUGCAUUGAAGAGGGCGCUUAGGCAAAUCCGGGCGCGAGACUCAAGGGUGUGGCACGAGCGAGCAUGGCUUGCGAAGUGAUUGGAAGUGGUUCCAAGAAAAGCCUCUAAGCUUCAGCUGUACGAGACCGUACCGCAAACCGACACAGGUGGACGGGAUGAAUAUUCCAAGGCGCUUGAGAGAACUCGGGAGAAGGAACUCGGCAAAUUGAUACCGUAACUUCGGGAGAAGGUAUGCCCCGGUAGUGUGAGGCGCCUGCGCGCUGAGCAUGAUGGGGUCGCAGAGAAUCGGUGGCUGCGACUGUUUAUUAAAAACACAGCACUCUGCAAAGACGAAAGUCGACGUAUAGGGUGUGACGCCUGCCCGGUGCCGGAAGGUUAAGUGAUGGGGUGCAAGCUCUUGAUCGAAGCCCCGGUAAACGGCGGCCGUAACUAUAACGGUCCUAAGGUAGCGAAAUUCCUUGUCGGGUAAGUUCCGACCUGCACGAAUGGCGUAACGAUGGCCACACUGUCUCCUCCCGAGACUCAGCGAAGUUGAAGUGUUUGUGAUGAUGCAAUCUACCCGCGGCUAGACGGAAAGACCCCAUGAACCUUUACUGUAGCUUUGCAUUGGACUGUGAACCGGCCUGUGUAGGAUAGGUGGGAGGCGCGGAAACCGAGUCGCCAGAUUCGGUGGAGCCGACCUUGAAAUACCACCCUGGUCUGUUUGCGGUUCUAACCUUGGCCCGUUAUCCGGGUUGGGGACAGUGCAUGGUGGGCAGUUUGACUGGGGCGGUCUCCUCCCAAAGCGUAACGGAGGAGUUCGAAGGUACGCUAGGUACGGUCGGAAAUCGUGCUGAUAGUGCAAUGGCAUAAGCGUGCUUGACUGUGAGACUGACAAGUCGAACAGGUGCGAAAGCAGGACAUAGUGAUCCGGUGGUUCUGAAUGGAAGGGCCAUCGCUCAACGGAUAAAAGGUACUCUGGGGAUAACAGGCUGAUACCGCCCAAGAGUUCAUAUCGACGGCGGUGUUUGGCACCUCGAUGUCGGCUCAUCUCAUCCUGGGGCUGUAGCCGGUCCCAAGGGUAUGGCUGUUCGCCAUUUAAAGAGGUACGUGAGCUGGGUUUAAAACGUCGUGAGACAGUUUGGUCCCUAUCUGCCGUGGGCGUUGGAUACUUGACGGAGCCUGCUCCUAGUACGAGAGGACCGGAGUGGACGUACCUCUGGUGUACCGGUUGUCAUGCCAAUGGCAUUGCCGGGUAGCUAUGUACGGAAGAGAUAACCGCUGAAGGCAUCUAAGCGGGAAACUCGUCUGAAGAUUAGGUAUCCCGGGGCCUCGAGCCCCCUGAAGGGUCGUUCAAGACCAGGACGUUGAUAGGUCGGGUGUGGAAGCGCAGUAAUGCGUUAAGCUAACCGAUACUAAUUGCCCGUGCGGCUUGAUCCUAUAACCCUGAUGGUU